rnacentral:rRNA from 1 species
AUGGGGUUAACCCGGCCUCUCCUGGCCGGUUUACGCCCAGCGGUAAUAUCCCCAACAGAUGGUCUUCUGCAUUGGGAUUUCUCCCCCGGCCUUGCGGUCGUGGAUUAGGUGCAUCGACGCUUUCAUUCUACGGUUCAUUUCUCCCCUUCUAGUGGUGGCAAGGAAUUCUUUCUGGUGGUUAGCUUUUCUUCGGCCUCCUUCACUCUUAAUGAAGAAUCUGUGGCAUUGGCUCUGCAAUGCUCCAUUGGA